CCCUUAGAUGUUCUGGGCCGCACGCGCGCUACACUGAUGAAUUCAACGAGCACUAACCUGUGCAGAAAUGUUCGGGUAAUCUUGUGAAAUUUCAUCGUGAUGGGGAUUGAUUAUUGCAAUUAUUAAUCAUAAACGAGGAAUGCCUAGUAAGCGUGAGUCAUCAGCUCACGUUGAUUACGUCCCUGCCCUUUGUACACACCGCCCGUCGCCCCUACCGAUUGAAUGUGCUGGUGAAAAGUUCGGAUUGGGAAUAGGAGACGGCAACGUAUCCUGUUUCUGAGAAAAUCUUUAAACCCUCCCAUUUAGAGGAAGGAGAAGUCGUAACA
rnacentral:rRNA from 1 species